GAUGAACGCUGGCGGCGUGCCUAACACAUGCAAGUCGAGCGUGAAGGUUCGGAUUGAAGCUUCGGCAGAGAGAAGAACUGGAAAGCGGCGGACGGGUGAGUAACGCGUGGGCAACCUGCCCCAUACAGCCGGAUAGCCACUGGAAACGGUGAUUAAUACGGCAUAAGACCACGACGCCGCAUGGUAACGGGGUCAAGGAUUUAUCGGUAUGGGAUGGGCCCGCGUCUGAUUAGCUAGUUGGUGAGGUAACGGCUCACCAAGGCGACGAUCAGUAACCGGCCUGAGAGGGCGAACGGUCACACUGGAACUGAGACACGGUCCAGACUCCUACGGGAGGCAGCAGUGGGGAAUCUUGGACAAUGGGCGCAAGCCUGAUCCAGCCAUGCCGCGUGAGUGAAGAAGGUCUUCGGAUUGUAAAGCUCUUUUGCCAGGGACGAUAAUGACGGUACCUGGAGAAUAAGCCCCGGCAAACUUCGUGCCAGCCGCCGCGGUAC
rnacentral:rRNA from 1 species